UUCAGCGGGGACUGUCCAUCAUGGUGGAGACUGGAACAGCUUGGUCUGUGGCAGUGAGAGCUUGCAUUGUAGCUUGUUCACACCUUGGCUGAUCAGGAAAAAGAGGGACAAACUCAGAAGCAGGAUCUCCUGACUGGGAGGGGAGAAGCAGCCUCAUGUUCUUGGCCACAUCCAUCAAGAGUGGAGAUCUAGUUUUAGACACUGGAGAAAGAGAGAAGGUAGGAAGCAUGUCCUGGUUUUUGUAAAAAAAUAAAAGUUAGUAGAUUUGCAUAAAUAGAUAUUUCUUUAUUUUCUAGUAUUCUUAGCACAAUUUCCAGACACUUACCAACAGCUGAGUUAAAAAUAGUAUUCAGCAGUUUUGGGUACCCUUGGAGAGUAGGGACAUGAACCAAUUCACAUCGGUGGUCGGGAAGUGGGAUACUAGUUUUUAUAAGUAGCUUGGACAGAUGACUGACAAAGUUU
rnacentral:lncRNA from 1 species